rnacentral:rRNA from 1 species
UACGUAGGAGGCGAGCGUUGUCCGGAGUUACUGGGCGUAAAGGGUGCGCAGGCGGCGGUUCGCGUGGCGAGAUGAAAUCUCCUGGCUUACCUGGGAGGAUGGUCGCCAGACGGGAUCGCUUGAGGGUCGGAGAGGGGCGUGGAAUUCCGGGUGGAGCGGUGAAAUGCGUAGAGAUCCGGAGGAACACCGACGGCGUAGGCAGCGCCCUGGACGACACCUGACGCUGAGGCACGAAAGCUAGGGGAGCAAACGGG